ACACUUGUAGUUUAUUAUAGUGUCACUAGAUGUUAGUAGGUUUAACACAGGUUUCAAUCACUUGUAGUUUAUUAUAGUGUCACUAGAUGUUAGUAGGUUUAACACAGGUUUCAAUCACUUGUAGUUUAUUAUAGAGUCACUAGAUGUUAGUAGGUUUAACACAGGUUUCAAUCACUUGUAGUUUAUUAUAGUGUCACUAGAUGUUAGUAGGUUUAACACAGGUUUCAAUCACUUGUAGUUUAUUAUAGUGUCACUAGAUGUUAGUAGGUUUAACACAGGUUUCAAUCACUUGUAGUUUAUUAUAGUGUCACUAGAUGUUAGUAGGUUUAACACAGGUUUCAAUCACUUGUAGUUUAUUAUAGUGUCACUAGAUGUUAGUAGGUUUAACACAGGUUUCAAUCACUUGUAGUUUAUUAGAGUCACUAGAUGUUAGUAGGUUUAACACAGGUUUCAAUCACUUGUAGUUUAUUAUAGUGUCACUAGAUGUUAGUAGGUUUAACACAGGUUUCAAUCACUUGUAGUUUAUUAGAGUCACUAGAUGUUAGUAGGUUUAACAUGAGUUGUAUCUCAAAUGGUACUCUAUAUUAAACUACUUUGGACAAGGGCUCUGGACAAAGGCCGUCUCUAGGUAAUAUGCUGCAAUUUGGGACGCACUCACAAUGUUGCACCUUUGGGUGGAAUUGUAAUCCAUAUCCUGGGUUUGAAAGGUAAUAUAAAGUAAUAGAUAAGGUUUCUUUGUAAAAUAAAUGAACAUGUUAGUGUAGCAAAGGUAAUAUAAAGUAAUAGAUAAGGUUUCUUUGUAAAAUAAAUGAACAUGUUAGUGUAGCAGUGUGUUCUGCCGAACAGACUGAAUUGAGUGGCUUAAUCAGUGUCGUCCUUCUAACUCAACCGCGUUGCCAUGAACUAGUGCAGACGAGGUCGCCACGCUAUCUGACGUGAGACUGUGGUGGUGGAAUGUGCUACAUCUAUGACAUCACGUGUCUCUCUCUCUCUCUUUG